UCCCUCGUGGCGCAAUUGGCUAGCGCGUCAGACUGUUCGUCUGGAGGCUGUUGGUUCGACCCCAACCGAGGGAG
rnacentral:tRNA from 1 species